rnacentral:rRNA from 1 species
CGACGUAAACAACCUGCCUUCAGGAUGGGGACAACAGACGGAAACGACUGCUAAUACCGAAUAAGUUCCAAGAGCCGCAUGGCCCAUGGAAGAAAAGGUGGCCUCUACCUGUAAGCUAUCGCCUGAAGAGGGGUUUGCGCCUGAUUAGCUGGUUGGAGGGGUAACGGCCCACCAAGGCGACGAUCAGUAGCCGGUCUGAGAGGAUGAACGGCCACACUGGAACUGAGACACGGUCCAG